rfam:Flavobacterium reichenbachii strain LMG 25512 Contig05, whole genome shotgun sequence.
AAUGGGAAAGCCGAAAACCAAAGAGAGUAGGCA